AGAAGACAGCGUUUUUCCUCUCCCACUGCAGUUUCUGUGCAUACAGAUCUGUGGGUAGAGCCCUGUGGAAAUCAGACUUUGUUUCAAGCUAUAUGUGAAGUUCCUGCGGAGCCAGCCCUUUCCCAAAGCUCAUAGAAGGAAUGCAGCUGAGUAUGAGGCCUGACAGCACAUGAUCUUCGCAUCAGCCUGAAAUCCAGGACCAUGACAUGGGUGUCUUUACAGUAACAACAACACAAAAGCA
rnacentral:lncRNA from 14 species